GACUCUCGGCAACGGAUAUCUCGGCUCUCGCAUCGAUGAAGAACAUAGCGAAAUGCGAUACUUGGUGUGAAUUGCAGAAUCCCGUGAACCAUCGAGUCUUUGAACGCAAGUUGCGCCCGAGGCCUCUUGGUCGAGGGCACGUCUGCCUGGGUGUCA
rnacentral:rRNA from 1 species